UCAGUUUUAUUAAUAAUAUACUUUUAUUUUUUUGGUACCAGUACUGGUUUUAUUUUGUUGUAUUUAUCCGUGACACCUUAAAGGCCGGUCCGUGAAAAUAUUGUUGGACAUAAACUGAUCUGUGGCGCAAAAGAGGUUGGGGACCGCUGUCCAAAAGGACAUCUGAAAACUAAAAUGACAAUCUUAUCAAACCAGAAUAAGUAAACUACUCAUCAGAAAAGUAAACCCAAGAUUUCUGUUAGCAAGAAAUAAUCAGUAAAGGAACACUCAAAAAAAUCAGCUAGGGCAUGUGUUUGAUUAGCAAAGCAGUAAUAUGUUUACAUUACAUGAAGAAAUCAUUUUUAUGGGUAUUAAAUGAUUCAUUCUUUUUUGUUGAAUAUGAGUCAAAGAAAAUUCUGAUGAGUUAAAUUCAUUCAUGGAAAUCCAAUGAGAAUGAGGUAAUCAAACCAACGACUCAGAUAGUGUCAUGCAUUGCGCAUGCUCUACGCCCACCUGAUGCGGAAGAGUCCGUUGAGACAUUAACGAGCGCACGUGGAGUCACUCCUUUGGUAUACUGGACAGUAAGAAAUACAUCACAAAAUAAAGCCACAUUCCCAUGCUCUGAGAUUCUUACACCUCCUCAACAAUACAUGAUUGACAAGGAAUUCCUGCGCAUAUUGACAGUACCGCUCCUAUCUACAUUCUUUUCUGAGCUAGAUGAUGGAGAUCUUUAGAGGCAAAGGUGGAGGGCUGGAAGAAAAAUGAGACACAUCAUGGGGACCAUCUUCAAGGAUGACACAAUACUUACAAGACGAGCAUCCGUCCUGAAGUCCCUGUGUGACUACGAGACUGCGACAAACUUGUGAAGGAAUAUACGAGAACACUGAGGCCAACACUGAAGCCAUGGAACAAACUGUGAUGGGAGUGUAUGUUCUACAGCAGGAGGGUGUGGAGCCUGGAGAUGACCCAGAGAACAUCGGUGGCCUGAUUGAAGGUGUGGAGAUUCUCACUGGUUUGAGGAGCAUUGCAAUUGCUUGUGCUUUUGUUAUUUGGACUGAUAUACUGUCUGAACCUAAGCUACCCACCGGAGCUCAAAUGCACUUUUGAAGUCUUGCAAAAGAUUAUCAUGAAGCUGGAUGGGCAGAGGUUUCAGAUUCAGGGAAGCCAUAUAUUUUUCCAUAUUUCUGCAAUGCAAAUUUGUUUACCUUUUAAAGUUCAAAAUUGUAAGUUAUAAAAUGUUCAUAAGGACUAUGUGGUUUGCUCAGUGGACAUUAGACAAAGAUUGUUAGUUCAUAAGUUAAAGUCUCAUACACUUGCACUUUAAACACUGAUUUGUGCAAGAUGGGCAAUUGUUACAAAGGAAAAUGUACCGACAGGUUUUCACAAAUUGUUUGAGUGGAGCAGUUGUUCUCAAACUUAUUAAAUGUUUUCUCCACACGUUAAAUAGACUAAAGUUACCAUUAGAGCUGGGCGAUAAAACGAUAACGAUGUGUGUUGCGAAAUA